rnacentral:rRNA from 1 species
UACGUAGGUGGCGAGCGUUGUCCGGAAUUAUUGGGCGUAAAGGGUGCGUAGGCGGCUCUUUAAGUGAGGUGUGAAAACCCUGGGCUUAACUCAGGGAUGGCACUUCAAACUGGGGAGCUAGAGUGCAGGAGAGGAAAGCGGAAUUCCCAGUGUAGCGGUGAAAUGCGUAGAGAUUGGGAGGAACACCAGUGGCGAAGGCGGCUUUCUGGACUGUAACUGACGCUGAGGCACGAAAGCGUGGGGAGCAAACAGG